AUACACCUCAUAGUCUAACACAAGGUGUGGAGAAUCGUACCAGGCGACUAUGUUGGAAUUGGUUUUUAUACCUUAGUCGUGUUUCGUUUUUUAGAAUCUUGGAUUUGCACGUCGCUACUUCCAUCCAUUUAUCAUUUCUCGUGCGCAUUCGAUUCUUUAACAUGCGAUGGUUGACAAUGCAAUAAAUCUGUCAAAUAGCUAUAAAAAUUUCUGUCAUUUCCACGCUAUCAACCAUUUGACGUACUCAUAACGUUAAACACGCUGCAGUUUUCAUCAUGAGAAAUACCGUAAGAGUAAAAUAAAAUCAUAGACGAGUAAUCUGAUGCGUUGAAGCGAAACUGUCGAUCACCUUGGCUUUAGCGGCCUUACAGUUUCGCAUUAUCCAUUUAGAAACGAGAAAACUUUUAUCAGGCCCACCGCUCAGCUUUCAAAAUUACCUUUUGAAUAAAUCGAACCCUGCGAAUUUUUUACAAACGACGAAAGUUGAGCAGCCCCUUUCGUCUCGAAUCUUCAUACUUUUGCAAAGCUCUGCGAGGAGCUUGCUCGUCUCAUUAUAGCCUUCCCGAAAUACGGUACGUGGUUGAUAAAAAUCAAUUACGGUUUCGUUGGACUGCAGACCGUUUUUUUAAGUCUUUAAAAGAGUCCUUUACGUCGUACUUACGAUCGUCGUAGCUAAGCACAUCGCGUGAGAAAUACCCGUGUAAACCUGGCGAAAGAGGAACUGGUCAUCUUUCUGAUGGAAAUUUUGCCGGGCGAAAUAUCGUUCAACAAAGGUGCCUGCAAAUGUUACACAGAAUUCAUUAGCGACUUUGAAAAAUACGGAGGCAUACAGCGGAGCCGAGGAUCUGCGCUUCGGGCGACGUCUUCCAGACGAAGGGCGGAUUGGUCGUUGAUUUGUGCUUCUCUGGAGAAUUUGUCCGGCAGUGAGGGAAGCGAGCUUCGGGAACGGCAACAUGUCGGUUGCUUUAGUCCGGACGUGAUUACCUUCGUGGAUACGGACAGCGUGAGCUUUUUAUACGUUUGUUAACGCGGCUGUUUUGCCGUCCCGACGUUGCAGAUUCCCUUUGUGCCGCAUGUCCCACGGCUAUGCGGGCUUGUAAGGGAAGGAGCUUGCGGUUGAGCGCGCUUUUGAUGCUUCGGAAACAUCGCCGCGCUCAAGCGGAAAUUAUCAAGUCUAGAUUAGCUACGUUUCGGUAGAUAUAUACGUAUAGAAUCCCUGCUGAUGGAUUAAGCUCCGCGCGUAACGUACGUGCAGGUAUAAUAAGCACUUGCCGAGGCAAAAACGUCGCCGGGAAUAUUACAUCAUCCCAGACUGCCGCAAAGUACAGAAUUGCCAUUUGCAAUUGGCAAGGUUUUACCUCUAAAGUCAGAGAAAUCCUUCGCCACGUCUCAUCCUCACAUUUCUUAAAUGAACUUGCGAUUAGACACGGAGAUUUUGGGUCGGCGACGUCGAUCCUCGCUACACCGAUCUCUUCGCUUUGCGAGUAUUUGUCCAAGAAAGUUUUCACCGAUCAAGGGGAUCAAGUUUAUAAAUCGAAUGUAAACGACCGCGAUACGAUUAUCGUCUUAGAUAAAACAAGGCUCGACGAUAUGUCCGAUAAACGGGCAGCGCCGUGCCCUCGGGCUCGUUACUCUGUAUCUUAAAAGGUUUCGGGCCAUCGAGGAGUUCGG
rnacentral:misc_RNA from 1 species